CACAAGCGUACGCAAAAGUUGCUGCGUUUAAAAAGCUCGUAGUUGGAUCUGUUUCGGAUGUGACGUCGAAAAACGGUGCAUCAGUGAUGGUGCCCGGUUGCAUUCGUAUCUUCCCGUAAACGGUAGUUGCACUUUACUGUGAUGAUUAUUGUGAGCGAUUUAUUUCAAUUUGAAUAAAUCAGAGUGUUCAAAGCGACCUUUGGGAUUGAAUGAUAAAGCAUGUGAUAAAGGAGGAAGACCCGCGAUAUUGUAAUUAAUGUGGUUUGCUGUAUCGUGGUAAUGAUUAAAAGGAACAGUUGGGGGCAUUUGUAUUGCUACGUUAGAGGUGAAAUUCUUGGAUCGUGGCAAGACAAACUAAAGCGAAAGCAUUUGCCAAGAAUGUUUUCAUUAA
rnacentral:rRNA from 1 species